GAUGAACGCUGGCGGCGUGCCUAAUACAUGCAAGUCGAGCGAACAGACGAGUAGCUUGCUCCUCUGACGUUAGCGGCGGACGGGUGAGUAACACGUGGAUAACCUACCUAUAAGACUGGGAUAACUUCGGGAAACCGGAGCUAAUACCGGAUAAUAUAUUGAACCGCAUGGUUCAAUAGUGAAAGACGGUUUUGCUGUCACUUAUAGAUGGAUCCGCGCCGCAUUAGAUAGUUGGUAAGGUAACGGCUUACCAAGGCGACGAUGCGUAGCCGACCUGAGAGGGGGAUAGGCCACACUGGAACUGAGACACGGUCAAGACUCCUACGGGAGGCAGCAGUAGGGAAUCUUCCGCAAUGGGCGAAAGCCUGACGGAGCAACGCCGCGUGAGUGAUGAAGGUCUUCGGAUCGUAAAACUCUGUUAUUAGGGAAGAACAAAUGUGUAAGUAACUAUGCACGUCGUGACGGUACCUAAUCAGAAAGCCACGGCUAACUACGUG
rnacentral:rRNA from 1 species